ACGGCAGUAGCUCAGCUGGAUAGAGCAUCGGCCUUCUAAGCCGAGGGUCGUGGGUUCGAGUCCCGCCUGCCGUG
rnacentral:tRNA from 1 species